rnacentral:rRNA from 1 species
UGAGGAAUAUUGGUCAAUGGACGAGAGUCUGAACCAGCCAAGUAGCGUGCAGGAUGACGGCCCUAUGGGUUGUAAACUGCUUUUGUUUGGGAAUAAUCGACAUUACGUGUAAUGUUUUGCAUGUACCAUUCGAAUAAGGACCGGCUAAUUCCGUGCCAGCAGCCGCGGUAAUACGGAAGGUCCAGGCGUUAUCCGGAUUUAUUGGGUUUAAAGGGAGUGUAGGCGGUUGGUUAAGCGUGUUGUGAAAUGUAGAUGCUCAACCUCUGACUUGCAGCGCGAACUGGCUGACUUGAGUACACACAACGUAGGCGGAAUUCAUGGUGUAGCGGUGAAAUGCUUAGAUAUCAUGACGAACUCCGAUUGCGAAGGCAGCUUACGGGAGUGUUACUGACGCUUAAGCUCGAAGGUGCGGGUAUCGAACAGG